rnacentral:lncRNA from 1 species
CUUUUUCCAUAGAAAAAAGUUUCUAUUUCCUGGCCGGGCCUUGUCUUGCAGUGAAAUUUCUUUGUCAUCCUGUUUAUCAGGUUGGUCAGCAGACACAAACCUGGCACAGGGCAAAACACAGCCCGUGACAGGGGAAGGGGUCCUGCAAUACCUUGGAUUAAAGUUCUUCCUGGGGUUAUCCCUCCAGCUUUUGGAUUGGACUCGUGGCCAGUGUUUUACAACCUCAGCAGGCCUUGGCUGGACCUUGCCUGACGCCUUUUGCCCCCCAGAGCAGCUCUGAUGGACACCAGGGGGUCCAAACCUCUCUGAUAUUUCCACACCACAACAGGCAACAAGAUUUUUCAUAUUCUGUCUUCUUUGGCUGGUGGGUCUGUGUCUGGAGAAGCACAGAGGAGGUUGUGUGCGUUAGAGACUUCAGCCUGGCAACUGCUGUGCUGUUCUUUAGGGGACAGAUUCCUCCUUCCUUUCUCCCACAAAGCUGUAAGAGAAUAAAAAGAAAUUACCUUUCAUUGCAAGUCGAUUUGUGGGAUGUAAUGGCACAAUUUAGAAAGGAAUAUUGCAGACAGUGAGACCACUUGGAUUAGAAACCUUGAAUCAGUUUGUGGGGCUAUAUAUUUCCAUAGUACUGUGUUUUGUUGUGUGGGGAAUUUAAUAAGAGAUGUAAAUCUGCAAACUGCAAUGGUAUCACCAUAAAACAUAAAAGAUUCAUGUAUUAUAAAUAGGUAUG